GACAGAGGGUGCAAACGUUGCUCGGAAUUACUGGGCGUAAAGCGCGUGUAGGCGGAUCGGCAAGUCAGGUGUGAAAUCCCUGGGCUCAACCCAGGAACUGCACUUGAAACUGCCAGUCUUGAGUAACGGAGAGGAUCGCGGAAUUCCUGGUGUAGAGGUGAAAUUCGUAGAUAUCAGGAGGAACACCGGUGGCGAAGGCGGCGAUCUGGACGUUUACUGACGCUGAGACGCGAAAGCGUGGGGAGCAAACAGGAUUAGAUACCCCAGUAGUCC
rnacentral:rRNA from 1 species